GUUGCAGCAAAAUCUGCGACCGGGCGUAGGAACCUGAACCCCAUCGGCGGCACAUACACGCUAGGCGUGUUUUUU
rnacentral:sRNA from 1 species